rnacentral:rRNA from 1 species
GUGGGGAAUCUUGCGCAAUGGGCGAAAGCCUGACGCAGCCAUGCCGCGUGAAUGAUGAAGGUCUUAGGAUUGUAAAAUUCUUUCACCGGGGACGAUAAUGACGGUACCCGGAGAAGAAGCUCCGGCUAACUUCGUGCCAGCAGCCGCGGUAAUACGAAGGGGGCUAGCGUUGCUCGGAAUUACUGGGCGUAAAGGGCGCGUAGGCGGACAGCUUAGUCAGAGGUGAAAGCCCAGGGCUCAACCUUGGAAUUGCCUUUGAUACUGGCUGGCUUGAGUUUGGGAGAGGUGAGUGGAACUCCGAGUGUAGAGGUGAAAUUCGUAGAUAUUCGGAAGAACACCAGUGGCGAAGGCGACUCACUGGCCCAAUACUGACGCUGAGGCGCGAAAGCGUGGGGAGCAAACAGGAUUAGAAACCCGGGUAGUCC